UCAACAGCACCUGUUGCUACUCCUCUUCAGGAUACCAUUGGCCACAGAAAGAAAGAGGUGGGAGACAGGAAACAAGAUGGCAUUCUUUUCCUUCAGCUUCUGUCUCUCCUCUGUGGACAGCAAGAAAACUCUACUACACAAGUGAAGAUGGAAACCGGUAGAAGUAAUAAAAUGGAGGCUGCAUACAUCUUGUCACAUUUUAUGUGACACUCAUUAAAAAUAAAAUAGAAAUAUAAAGAAAAGGCUUACAAAAUGCCACAGCAGUGUGGAGUGGUUGAUAUGAAUGAUGAAUCUCAGCUCUCCUGUCUUCCAUUUUGGGCUGAAGCAUCUGGGUCAUGGCAAGCAAGAGGCAUCAUCAGAGUUCAAAGACGCAUUCCAGCCAGGCAAAGCCACUCAAGGAUCAAAAGGGGUCGUGGCUGGGAAGGGGCCCUGGCCUGGAGAGAGUCCAGGCGGCUAAAUAAGCUGCUCUGACCUUUGUGCUUUCCCCCUCAAAGUGGACAGUGACUGUUGUGAUUGGACCUCCCAUUUUUCUGCACAUCUAGCAGUCACUAUCUUUCUGUCUGUCUGCCGCCAGCUCCUCACUCUGCAGAUAGGAACAGGCUUGAUUCGAUGGCUUGGGUCGCCACCAGGGAUGGAUAACAGUUAGUUUCAGUCCCAGAGAUGUUUCCAAGUACACCCUUUUACUCUCUCCUCUCAGUGUAACACCCACUGUUCAAAAUAAAAGUAAAGCAGGGGUUCAGGGACAAUGGCAAAAGUCCCUUUCUGCCACUGCAACUGGGUGUCCCUGCCCUUCUUCACCAUGCCCCUGCUGCAGGGUUGUGCAAUGCACUUCUGUGUGCAGAUGAGCAUAGUGUCAGGCCCUUAGGCUGAUGGAGGGCAGGUACCUCAGAAGUAGGGGAGCUGAAGUCAGGCUGUUGCAGGGUGGAAACUGAUGGGCUGAAAAUGUGAAGGACCGAGUAGUCUCCACCACAAACAAUGGUUUACUCAGACCUACAGAGUAAUCCUUUCUUUCUUUCUUUCUUUCUUUCUUUCUUUCUUUCUUUCUUUCUUUCUUUCUUUCUUUCUUUCUUUCUUUCUUUCUCAUUGCAUUUAUAUCCCACCUUUCUUCCAAGGAUCUGACAAAGGCUUCAGUGGUUCUCCUCCCUCUCCCUUUUGUCCUCACAACAACCCUGUGAGGUAGGUUAGGCUGAGAGACUGUCAUGGGCCCAAGGUCACCCAGCAAGCUUCAUGGCUGAGAGUUACCUAACUUCCCAGUCCAGGAGGAUCAUGGGCUACUGUGAAAAGCUCCCGUCUGAAAAGGCCUGUAUGUAGUUCCUUCCCCUUACCUGCAUCCAAGGUGUCUAGGGCCUGUUCCCACCAGGCUCCUAGUUCAAACGUAAAGAUGAGCGAAUCUGUCUGUUUUGAUUUCUCUCCGUUUUUCAUUUUUCCAGUCUCGUUCAGUUCUCCACAUUCCCACAUCAGUCUGGAAUUUUAAAAAAGCCCUCACAAAAAUUCAUCAGCAUUUUCUCCUAGUGUACAUAUGUUUAGAUGCAAUUUUGCCUAGUAUGAUCAUUUUUGCAAAGCAAUUUUCCCUCCUGUAAUGCAUUUUUGUAUGUUAUUUCAACAAUAUUUCCGUUUGUAUCCCAGUACAUGCAUUUAUGUGGACAUUCCUCGGCUGGAAAACUGCACUGCAAAAUUCAGAGAAGUGCACAUUUCAAAGGAUGGCUGUAUUUCAGUUUGCAUAUUGUUUUGGGAAGUGUGAAUUACAUAGAUUCCCCUUUAAAGGAGACCUGAUUGAAUUUCUCCCCAUCCUUGCUCAAGCCCCACAGAGUCUGACACACACAGGUCCUUGUAGUACAAAAACCCUACAAACACAGGCCAUGUUGACAGAUAUCUUGCUAGUACCUUUAUGAGGUGACUUUACCAGCAGAUUAUUUAAUGCGUGUAUCACCCUGUGAUAAAUUUACAAAGCGACCCAUGUCCACAUGUUUGAUAUUGUUCUGCUAGUGCUUGUGAAUCUUAGGAGAGCUCCAGGUAACGGUUCCAUUAACGGAUCGUAUUUUCUUUGUGUCCCCUUUCGCAUUCCAUCACAGUUCACAAAUUAAAAGGCUAUACAAUGAAA